rnacentral:rRNA from 1 species
CCUGGUAUGAAAGGUUUGACGAGGAAAAAGCUGUUUCUAUUUUAAUUUUAUAGAAUUUUAUUUUUAAGUCAAAAAGCUUAAAUUAAUUUAAAAGACGAGAAGACCCUAUAGAGUUUUAUAAAAUAAAUGAUUUAAAAUUAUUUGAAUUAUAUAUUAUAAAUUAUUUAUUUUAUUUUAUUGGGGUGAUGGAAAAAUUUAAAAAACUUUUUUUUUAUAAUAACAUUUAUUUAUGAAUUAUUGAUCCAUAUUAAUGAUUAUAAGAUUAAAUUACCUUAGGGAUAACAGCGAA